rnacentral:snRNA from 1 species
AUACUUACCUUGAUGGGGUCAAUGGGCGAUCAUGAAGGCCCAUGGCCUAGGUUGGCGACCUCCAUUGCACUUUGGAGGGGUGCUUGCCUAAGGUCGAUCUGAGUGGUUGAGCCUACGUCAUAAUUUGUGGCAGCAGGGGCCUGCGUUUGCGCGGACCCUAC